UUUAGCGUUUGGUUAGGAUUUGAUUUAGAAUUAGGAUUUGAUUAGGAUUUGAUUUAGGGUUUAAGAUUUUAUUUGAGUUUAUUUAGGAUUUAAAAUUUAGUUAGUUUUGGCCUAAAGUUUGAAUGAAGUCCAAUAAGAUUUCAACUAGGAUUAAAUUAAGAUUGAAUUGAAAUGUAUUUGAGAUAUGUUUGUAAUCAUUUUAAUAUUUCUUAAAGAUUUUUUAUUAUUUCUUUGGAAUUCUUUUUGAGUUUUUUAGAAU
rnacentral:lncRNA from 1 species